GACGUAGGGCGCGAGCGUUGUCCGGAUUUAUUGGGCGUAAAGAGCUCGUAGGCGGCCAGUUGCGUCCGCUGUGAAAUCCCGGGGCUUAACCCCGGGCGUGCAGUGGAUACGGGCUGGCUAGAGGCAGGCAGGGGAGAACGGAAUUCCCGGUGUAGCGAUGAAAUGCGCAGAUAUCAGGAGGAACACCGGUGGCGAAGGCGGUUCUCUGGGCAUGUUCUGACGCUGAGGAGCGAAAGUGUGGGGAGCGAACAGG
rnacentral:rRNA from 1 species